AUAAUUUAAAAUUGACAGGCAGCUAGUGCUAGACUUAUGACCACGGUCUGGACCGCGGACCAGUUGUAACACGAUUUGGUCGUAAGCUGAGUAGGCUAUAUGUACAGUUGAAAUGGUGCACGCGGAGAUGGUAGUGCUGCCGGAAGCUGGUCUGCACUGUUGUACGCCCAGCUGGGCAAUGUCUGCGCUGCCAGACGCGGAGCAGUUGUGGCUAGCGAUUGUGGUCGUAAAGUCGAAUGGUCGUAAGUUGCAUAGGUCGUAAGUCGAUCAAUACCUGAUCGAAUGCUUACGCUUUGGGCAAGAAACAGCCCAUGUUAAUUGUGCCAUGUCUUCCAAUUUUAAUUACAGAUAUAAAGUGUAGAUAUAAAGUGUUGAGGAAA